CGAGAUCUCGGUAUAUUAAACACUUUUAUCCGCUCGUUUUCAUUCUUUCCGCGUAAUCUAUUAUGAAUCCAUUGGACUCAAAAGUUAUAAUACUCAUUUUAUUAAGAUUUAUAUCUUCAUAUAAACGGCAGCGUGUACUAUACAGAGCGAGCUAUGGCGUUUCCGGAAAAUGGCGCUGGUAUUAGUAGGAAAGUAUAAAAAAAAAAAAAAAAAAAAAAACCGAAAGUAUUUUACAUAACAUAGGUAAGUCAUUGUUGCAGGUUGAAUAACGGGAGAGUAAGUUGUACUAUAGUUGUUUGAAAACUGA